UACGUAGGGUGCAAGCGUUAGUCGGAAUUACUGGGCGUAAAGCGUGCGCAGGCGGUUUUGUAAGACUGUCGUGAAAUCCCCGGGCUUAACCUGGGAAUGGCGAUGGUGACUGCAAGGCUAGAGUUUGGCAGAGGGGGGUAGAAUUCCACGUGUAGCAGUGAAAUGCGUAGAGAUGUGGAGGAACACCGAUGGCGAAGGCAGCCCCCUGGGUCAAGACUGACGCUCAUGCACGAAAGCGUGGGGAGCAAACAGG
rnacentral:rRNA from 1 species